rnacentral:rRNA from 1 species
AUUGAACGCUGGCGGCAGGCCUAACACAUGCAAGUCGAGCGGAUGAAGGGAGCUUGCUCCUGGAUUCAGCGGCGGACGGGUGAGUAAUGCCUAGGAAUCUGCCUGGUAGUGGGGGAUAACGUCCGGAAACGGGCGCUAAUACCGCAUACGUCCUGAGGGAGAAAGUGGGGGAUCUUCGGACCUCACGCUAUCAGAUGAGCCUAGGUCGGAUUAGCUAGUUGGUGGGGUAAAGGCCUACCAAGGCGACGAUCCGUAACUGGUCUGAGAGGAUGAUCAGUCACCAUGGAAAGGGAGAGCAGACCAACCCCCCGCGGGGGGGAACAGGUGGGAAAUUUUGAAAAAGGGCGGAAAGCUGUACACACCCUUGCGGGGUGUGUAAGAAAGUUCUUCGUUUUUUAAACCAUUUAAAGUUGGGAGGAAGGAAAAAAAUUUAAUACCUUCUUGUUUGAAGGUGACAAACAAAAAAACCCCCGGCUAACUUCGUC